AUGUAUUUCAAAUUUGGGUCUGUCGACAGACCCAUUUUUUAGCGGAAAAAAUAUUGAUUCCUCUUUCCGUACGUAAAAUAAAUAACAUAAUGAAACAAACUUUUCAUUUCUGUUAAUCUCUAAAAUAGAAAAAAAUAUAUUUAUUCAAAUUUUUGCCAACAGAAAGAUAUCUACUGUGAAUCUAUAUUUUAAUUAAAAAUUUAUUUAAUUUUUUAUCUUUAAAAUAGAAAAAUAUUAUGCUUAUCCAAAUUUUUGCCAGAAUAUCUACAAUAAAUCUAUAUUUCAAUUCAAAAUUUAAAAUUAAUUUAAAAUUUAAAAUUUUGGGACUAUCAAUAUAUUACAAUGAAAAUAAUUUAAAAGAUAGAUUGGUUGAUAAAUUUAUAAAUUGUGAGAUCCCUGAUGUUCUGCUGUGAAGGCUUGUCGACAGCUCUGGAGAGUGU
rnacentral:lncRNA from 1 species